UACGUAGGUGGCAAGCGUUGUCCGGAUUUACUGGGCGUAAAGAGCGCGCAGGCGGUCGUUCAAGUCGCGUGUGAAAGCCCCCGGCUCAACUGGGGAGGGUCACGCGAUACUGAUCGACUCGAAGGCAGGAGAGGGAAGUGGAAUUCCCGGUGUAGUGGUGAAAUGCGUAGAUAUCGGGAGGAACACCAGUGGCGAAGGCGACUUCCUGGCCUGUUCUGACGCUGAGGCGCGAGAGCGUGGGGAGCGAACUGG
rnacentral:rRNA from 1 species